GAAACUGCGAAUGGCUCAUUAAAUCAGUUAUCGUUUAUUUGAUAGUACCUUACCACUUGGAUAACCGUGGUAAUUCUAGAGCUAAUACAUGCUAAAAACCUCGACUUCGGAAGGGGUGUGUUUAUUAGAUAAAAAACCAAUGCCCUUCGGGGCUCUUUGGUGAUUCAUGAUAACCCAACGGAUCGCAUGGCCUUGCGCUGGCGACGGUUCAUUCAAAUUUCUGCCCUAUCAACUUUCGAUGGUAAGGUAUUGGCUUACCAUGGUUUCAACGGGUAACGGGGAAUUAGGGUUCGAUUCCGGAGAGGGAGCCUGAGAAACGGCUACCACAUCCAAGGAAGGCAGCAGGCGCGCAAAUUACCCAAUCCCGACACGGGGAGGUAGUGACAAUAAAUACUGAUACAGGGCUCUUUUGGGUCUUGUAAUUGGAAUGAGUACAAUUUAAACCCCUUAACGAGGAACAAUUGGAGGGCAAGUCUGGUGCCAGCAGCCGCGGUAAUUCCAGCUCCAAUAGCGUAUAUUAAAGUUGUUGCAGUUAAAAAGCUCGUAGUUGAAACUUGGGUCUGGCUAGCGGGUCCGCCUCACCGCGUGCACUUGUCCGGCUGGACCUUUCCUUCUGGAGAACCUCAUGCCCUUCACUGGGUGUGUUGGGGAACCAGGACUUUUACUUUGAAAAAAUUAGAGUGUUCAAAGCAGGCCUUUGCUCGAAUACGUUAGCAUGGAAUAAUAGAAUAGGACGUGCGGUCCUAUUUUGUUGGUUUCUAGGAUCGCCGUAAUGAUUAAUAGGGAUAGUCGGGGGCAUCAGUAUUCAAUUGUCAGAGGUGAAAUUCUUGGAUUUAUUGAAGACUAACUACUGCGAAAGCAUUUGCCAAGGAUGUUUUCAUUAAUCAGUGAACGAAAGUUGGGGGAUCGAAGACGAUCAGAUACCGUCGUAGUCUCAACCGUAAACUAUGCCGACUAGGGAUCGGGCGAUGUUUCUAUCUUGACUCGCUCGGCACCUUACGAGAAAUCAAAGUUUU
rnacentral:rRNA from 1 species